GCUGCAGCGGGAUCAGGCCUCCGUGGAAGCGUGGCUGGUGAUCACCGGGACUUCGCCUUCUCUUACUUUGUUAGGAAAGCCACCAGAUCGAAAAUAAGGAUGGGGAAGAUGGUGGAAGAGUAAGGUCCCCAAGUCACCUGUCCCCUCCAAAUUACCUAGAUAACCUUCAAAUCAUCCUGAAAAUUUAUGAAUCCGGCCUGAGAUUUAAAGAGAGAACAGCUGGAAUGCUACAGUGAGAAGAGUUCACGCUUCUAUCAAGUUUACAGGAACAGUUGUUGCCUCAGGAAGACUACACCCUGGAACAUCCUCACUCAGAAAACAAUCACAGGAUGUAGAAGCCACCAGAAGGCAGGGAAGCUCUUACAAUAUGUUGAGGAGAAGGUUGUUCUUCAAGCAAGUGUGUCCCAAGGACCUUCUCAGCAACACUAGGAGAUAAUAAAACAUUCAGGUAAAACUACCAGUGCUGCCAAGAUGAGCUCUAUAACCAAGGGGACUUCCAAGUGCCUCAGGAAUCCUCAGUACCCAAUGGCAUUAAGUGUCCUGCCUGCUACAACGUGUAUGAUGUUUCCUGCGACCCAGUUCUUCUUGCCUGCACUGGUACAGAGACAAAGCGUGUGGAAGUUAUUGGCAUAGAUCAACUCUGAUACAACAUGGGAGAAGAGUAUACAAGGACAUGAAUACUAAGAGAUCGCAGGCCAUCCUAGAGACUAACUACUAUGUACAGCAAAGGCUGAUACAGGGCCAAGUCCUAGUUCACUCUCCAAAGUUUGGAGGGAGCCAUCUGUCAGAAGAGAGAAGGGGGAGAGGAGAGGACGAGGAGAGGAGAGGGAAGAUGAAGAGAACACAACUGCUUUCCACAGGAAAGUCUGACACUUGGGAACAUGUCAUAUCAUGAUCUCCUCGAAUGGGAACUUGGGUCAUUGGCCAUCACCCUCUUCAACAAAGAGGGUGAUACCUCAGUUCUGUUUUUUUUCAUCACUACCAUUAUUGCUAUUACCCAAACCCCAUGAAUAAGCAUGAUAUGAUUCUGAAAUCUGCAGAAGGACUUGCCAUUUUCCUGAGGAGGAGAAAAGUAUGGACUUGUAAUAAGAUGCACAGAUGCCAUUCAGAUAGAAAACAACAGGUACCAAGGGGCUGUUUAGGUGAAUACAUGAGUUCUGACCUCAGGCUUUUUCCUCUCUUCCAACUAUCUCUCGCCUCGUCAGAAGGUACAGACUCCAAUCUCAGCUAUGCAUCUGACACAGCAGGGGCCCUUUGGGAUUCAUCCUAAACUGAGAUGUCGGGCCCAAAGGGAACUAAGGCUUGGUCCCUGGACAGAGAUGGAGCUGUGGUUCUUGCUUCUUUCACAGAAGGCAGAGGGGAAUUCUGGGGCAUUCUGUGUACCCUUUUCUUCCCCAAGGGAGGCAGAUAGGAUAGGACGUGGGUGAAGAGGGGAGACAAGAUAAGAGAGAAGACUAACUCUUGGAUUUUUCUUUUGGCAGAUAGUCCAAUAUUUAUGAUUUUUGCCAUGGGUUGUGCUACUGAAACUGUCCUCAACUUGAGGAAUAUAAGUAUAUUGAAUAACAUAAAAAUCCGUACCAACUGUACAGAACAAAGCAAUGGAGAUCCCCACUGAUGUUCAUCACCUCAUCAAUCUUGACUGGUCCCUUCUUGCUCAAAGUCUUGCUUUGAAGUUUGCACACUUCCAAGCUCAUAAUUCUACAAACCUGAAAAAGUUGGAGUCCUCUGAUGUAUCCCCUCCCCAACAUUCUCCAGACAUUGCAGAAUUAAGUUGCUGAUAUUUCCUUAAGUAUGUUUGUAAUCUUUAUUAGUAACUCAGGUUAAAAAAAAUCUUAUUGAAGGGGGGUCUCUGGGUGGCUCAGUGGUUGGCACCUGCGUUUGGCGCAGGGAGUGAUCCUGGAAUCCUGGGAUCUAGUCCUACAUCAGGAUCCCUGCA